GAUGAACGCUAGCGGCAGGCCUAAUACAUGCAAGUCGAACGAGAUUGAGGAGCUUGCUCUUCAUGAAAGUGGCGCACGGGUGCGUAACGCGUAUGCAACCUACCUUAAUCAGGGGGAUAGCCUCUCGAAAGAGAGAUUAACACCGCAUAACAUUAUUAUAUGGCAUCAUACGAUAAUCAAAUAUUUAUAGGAUUAAGAUGGGCAUGCGUGACAUUAGUUAGUUGGCGGGGUAACGGCCCACCAAGACGAUGAUGUCUAGGGGAUCUGAGAGGAUGACCCCCCACACUGGUACUGGGACACGGACCAGACUCCUACGGGAGGCAGCAGUAAGGAAUAUUGGUCAAUGGGCGCAAGCCUGAACCAGCCAUGCCGCGUGCAGGAAGACGGCCCUACGGGUUGUAAACUGCUUUUAUACUGGAAUAAACCUACUUACGUGUAAGUAGCUGAAUGUACAGUAAGAAUAAGGAUCGGCUAACUCCGUGCCAGCAGCCGCCGUAAGAC
rnacentral:rRNA from 1 species